GAUGAACGCUAGCUACAGGCUUAACACAUGCAAGUCGCGGGGCAGCAUGAGGGUUGCUUGCAAUUCUUGAUGGCGACCGGCGUACGGGUGAGUAACGCGUAUCCAACCUGCCCAUCACUACGGGAUAACCCGUUGAAACGCCGACUAAUACCCCAUAGCAUCACUUCAAGGCAACUUUUAGUGAUUAAAGAAUUUCGGAUAAGGAUAGGCUCGCGUGACAUUAGCUAGAUGGCGGGGUGACGGCCCACCAUGGCGACGAUGUCUAGGGGUUCUGAGAGGAAGGUCCCCCACACUGGAACUGAGACACGGUCCAG
rnacentral:rRNA from 1 species